CCCUUAGAUGUUCUGGGCCGCACGCGUGCUACACUGAGUAAUUCAAUGGGUAAGGGAACGCUAGAGCAUUACCUAAUCUUGAAAUUUGCUCGUGAUGGGGAUCGACGGUUGCAAUUUUCCGUCGUGAACGAGGAAUACCUUGUAGGCGCAUGUCAUCAUCAUGCGCCGAAUACGUCCCUGCCCUUUGUACACACCGCCCGUCGCUACUACUGAUUGGACGUUUAAGCAAGAUUUUUAAACACUGACAGUGUGUAGUUCACGCUAUACUACAGUGAGAAGAAGAAGAUCGAGCUUACUUGUCUAGAGGAAGUAAAAGUCGUAACA
rnacentral:rRNA from 1 species